GCUUGUACAGUUUUCAUGUGUAAAUUUUAUUUCUGUCAGUUUAUAGUAUGAAUUUAUCUAAUUCAUAGUUUUUUUGUGCUGUAAUAGUUUAAUUUUAUAGUUAAAUGGUUGCUAAUACCCCGUAAGCUGAGGAGCAAAAGGAGGAAUCUACCCGAGGAGAGGCUUGUGUCUGAUUAGCUAGUUGGUGAGACAAUAGUUUACCAAGGCAAUGAUCAGUCACACUGGGACUGAGACACGACCCAGACUCCUAUGGGAGGCAGCAAUGGAGAAUUUUCCACAAUUGGAAAAAGCCUAAUGGAGCAAUGACGUGUGGAGGUAGAAGGCCCACGGGUUGUGAACUUCUUUUCCAGGAGAAGAUGCAAUGAUGGUAUCUUGGGAAUAAGCAUCAGCUAACUUUGUGCCAACAGUCGCGGUAAUAUAGAGGAUGUAAGC
rnacentral:ncRNA from 1 species